AAUCCAAGGGUUUACUCCCUUCUCUGCACAUAAUCUUCUCAACUCUGCAAUCUUCUUCACUUGGCUUUCAAUAAAGCUCUGCCCACCAAACCCAGGAUUCACCGACAUAAUCAAUACUAGAUCAACAACAUCAAGUACAUAAUCUAUCGCAGUGAGAGGGGUUGCAGGAUUCAAAACAACUCCAGCCUUUGCUCCAAGACUUUUGAUCUGAUUGACUGUUCGGUGUAGAUGGAUGGUUGACGAUUGCUCACAGUGAACGCUAACAAUAUCAGCACCUGCCUUGAUAAAAUCUGGAACUCGUUGCUCAGGUUCCACAAUCAUCAGAUGCACAUCCAACGGAAGAUCAGUGACUGGCCGCAGAGCAUCAACAACCAAAGGUCCGAUUGUGAUAUUUGGCACAAAACGUCCAUCCAUGACAUCAACAUGAAUCCAGUCACAUCCUGCCACCUCCACAGCUUUUACCUGCUCGCCAAGCUUGGAAAAGUUUGCAGAAAGAAUGGAA
rnacentral:misc_RNA from 1 species